rnacentral:rRNA from 1 species
AUUGAACGCUGGCGGCAGGCCUAACACAUGCAAGUCGAACGAGUGGCGGACGGGUGAGUAAUGUCUGGGAAACUGCCUGAUGGAGGGGGAUAACUACUGGAAACGGUAGCUAAUACCGCAUACCAUCAGAUGUGCCCAGAUGGGAUUAGCUAGUAGGUGGGGUAACGGCUCACCUAGGCGACGAUCCCUAGCUGGUCUGCGAGGAUGACGAGCCACAGUGGAACGGAGACACGGUCCAGACUCCUACGGUGGGCAGCAGUGGGGAAUAUUGCACGAUGGGCGCAAGCCUGAGGCGGCCAUGCCGCGUGUGGGAAGAAGGCCUUCGGGUUGUAAGGCACUUUCAGCGGGGAGGCGUUACCCGCAGAAGAAGCACCGGCUAACUCCGUGCCAGCAGCCGCGGUAAUAC